rnacentral:tRNA from 1 species
GAGGGUGUAGCUCAGUGGUAGAGUGCAUGCCCAGUAUGCACGAAGUCCUGGGUUCAAGCUCCAGUACCUUCC